AGAGAUGCCUUUCUUCCCUUCCGGGGACCUACACACAGGUGCUGCAUGGCUGUCGUCAGCUCGUGUCGUGAGAUGUUGGGUUAAGUCCCGCGGCGAGCGCAACCCUCGACUUUAGUUACCAUCAUUAAGUUGGGUACUUUAAAGUAACCGCCGGUGAUAAGCCGGAGGAAGGUGGGGAUGACGUCAAGUCCUCAUGGCCCUUACGCGCUGGGCUACACACGUGCUACAAUGGCAAGUACAGUGGGCAGCAAUCCCGCGAGGGUGAGCUAAUCUCCAAAACUUGUCUCAGUUCGGAUUGUUCUCUGCAACUCGAGGGCAUGAAGGCGGAAUCGCUAGUAAUCGCGGAUCAGCAUGCCGCGGUGAAUACGUUCCCAGGCCUU
rnacentral:rRNA from 1 species